AUUACUCCCACUUAGUUUUUUUUAUGUCCAUUACAAUUUUGUAAUUGAUUUUUGCAUCUGUUAGUUACCCAUCAAUUGCUAUAAUGUAAAUAAGGUCCGAGUGAACCAUCGUCAUUAGUUCAAUUGUAAUCUAUUUCAGUUGGUUAUAACAGUCCUUUUUAAAAGCACAUUCAAUAGUAAAGAGUAAAUAACUACUUAAUCAUAUGCCAUGAGUAAAAAUAAAGACCUAACAACAGUUACACAACUCCAACAAGAAAUUGUCUUUUACUUGAAGUUGAUAUUUUACUUACUAGCUGGUUAUUAUGGUCGCUAGUAUACGUGAUUUCUCUCUCGCGAUGAUUAAACUCCUAAAUUAAUCUAUAUCUGUAUAGCGAACAAAUUGAAGAACACGCUGCACAAAAUUAAUACGAAACAUUAAACAAAAUAGAACUAUUGGUCUAAAAUUCGCUUGCGAGCUGAUAGGAAUUCUGUAAUGUGUGGAUUGCAAGCAAUAGAAUCGUUACUUUGAAAAAAAAAGGAAGUCUGAUAUUACAACCAUGGCUUUGGUGUAGCGAAAUGAUCCGUUAUUCAAUUGAAAAACUUAUAUUGUUGUUAGUUUCCUUGUUUAAUUAUCCCCAAAUAUCCCACACCAAAAAUCGCUUGUUGAUGGUGGCUCUUCAGCAAUGUGUAUACCAUGUCUACAAAGUUAUACAUAGUGCCCAAAAUAGGUGGUUGGAUUUAAAUUUCUCUGUGAAAUUUAAAAAGCAUUGAGUUUUCACACAAUGUCAUGGAUAUGUUAAAUAGUUCGGUAAAGAAACUCACCGUUGGUGAAAUAGAAGCGAAUCCUUAAUAUAUCCAAAAAUUUAUUGGAGAAUAAAAAACCGCUACUGCCUUGUCAAGACUUCCAU